UACGGGAAGGCAGCAGUGGGGAAUAUUGCACAAUGGGCGAAAGCCUGAUGCAGCUAUGCCGCGUGUAUGAAGAAGGCCUUAGGGUUGUAAAGUACUUUCAUCGGGGAGGAAAAAACAAAACUAAUAAUUUUAUUUCUUGACGUUACCCGAAAAAGAAGCACCGGCUAACUCCGUGCCAGCAGCCGCGGUAAUACGGAGGGUGCUAGCGUUAAUCAGAAUUACUGGGCGUAAAGAGCACGUAGGUGGUUUUUUAAGUCAGAUGUGAAAUCCCUGGGCUUAACCUAGGAACUGCAUUUUGAAACUGAAAUACUAGAGUAUCGUAGAGGGAGGUAGAAUUCUAGGUGUAGCGGUGAAAUGCGUAGAUAUCUGGAGGAAUACCUGUGGCGAAAGCGGCCUCCUAAACGAAUACUGACACUGAGGUGCGAAAGCGUGGGGAGCAAACAGGAUUAGAUACC
rnacentral:rRNA from 1 species